GCUGGGAUAGCUCAGGUAGUAGAGCAUUCGCCUGAAGAGCGAGGGGUCGGCAGUGCAAAUCUGCCUCCCAGCACCA
rnacentral:tRNA from 1 species